GACGAACGCUGGCGGCGUGCUUAACACAUGCAAGUCGAACGAAGUGGCGGACGGGUGAGUAACGCGUAAUCAACCUGCCCUUCAGAGGGGGACACCAGUGGGAAACGACGGCUAUUACCUCAUACUGAAGGAGGGGAUUGCGUCUGAUUAGCUAGUUGGAGGGGAAACGGCCCACCAAGGCGAUGAUCAGUAGCCGGUCUGAGAGGAUGAACGGCCACAUUGGGACUGAGACACGGCCCAGACUCCUACGGGAGGCAGCAGUGGGGAAUCUUCCGCAAUGGACGAAAGUCUGACGGAGCAACGCCGCGUGAGUGAUGACGGCCUUCGGGUUGUAAAGCUCUGUUAAUCGGGACGCGGUACCGGAAUAGAAAGCCACGGCUAACUACGUGCCAGCAGCCGCGGUAAUUC
rnacentral:rRNA from 1 species